CACGUAGGGUGCGAGCGUUGUCCGGAAUUAUUGGGCGUAAAGAGCUCGUAGGCGGUGUGUCGCGUCGAUCGUGAAAACUUGGGGCUUAACCCUGAGCUUGCGGUCGAUACGGGCAUCACUUGAGUUCGGCAGGGGAGACUGGAAUUCCUGGUGUAGCGGUGAAAUGCGCAGAUAUCAGGAGGAACACCGGUGGCGAAGGCGGGUCUCUGGGCCGAUACAUG
rnacentral:rRNA from 1 species